AGCGUACACGGUGGAUGCCCUGGCAGUCAGAGGCGAUGAAGGACGUGCUAAUCUGCGAUAAGCGUCGGUAAGGUGAUAUGAACCGUUAUAACCGGCGAUUUCCGAAUGGGGAAACCCAGUGUGAUUCGUCACACUAUCAUUAACUGAAUCCAUAGGUUAAUGAGGCGAACCGGGGGAACUGAAACAUCUAAGUACCCCGAGGAAAAGAAAUCAACCGAGAUUCCCCCAGUAGCGGCGAGCGAACGGGGAGCAGCCCAGAGCCUGAAUCAGUGUGUGUGUUAGUGGAAGCGUCUGGAAAGGCGCGCGAUACAGGGUGACAGCCCCGUACACAAAAAUGCACAUACUGUGAGCUCGAUGAGUAGGGCGGGACACGUGGUAUCCUGUCUGAAUAUGGGGGGACCAUCCUCCAAGGCUAAAUACUCCUGACUGACCGAUAGUGAACCAGUACCGUGAGGGAAAGGCGAAAAGAACCCCGGCGAGGGGAGUGAAAAAGAACCUGAAACCGUGUACGUACAAGCAGUGGGAGCACAGAGCAAUCUGUGUGACUGCGUACCUUUUGUAUAAUGGGUCAGCGACUUAUAUUCUGUAGCAAGGUUAACCGAAUAGGGGAGCCGAAGGGAAACCGAGUCUUAACUGGGCGUUAAGUUGCAGGGUAUAGACCCGAAACCCGGUGAUCUAGCCAUGGGCAGGUUGAAGGUUGGGUAACACUAACUGGAGGACCGAACCGACUAAUGUUGAAAAAUUAGCGGAUGACUUGUGGCUGGGGGUGAAAGGCCAAUCAAACCGGGAGAUAGCUGGUUCUCCCCGAAAGCUAUUUAGGUAGCGCCUCGUGAAUUCAUCUCCGGGGGUAGAGCACUGUUUCGGCAAGGGGGUCAUCCCGACUUACCAACCCGAUGCAAACUGCGAAUACCGGAGAAUGUUAUCACGGGAGACACACGGCGGGUGCUAACGUCCGUCGUGAAGAGGGAAACAACCCAGACCGCCAGCUAAGGUCCCAAAGUCAUGGUUAAGUGGGAAACGAUGUGGGAAGGCCCAGACAGCCAGGAUGUUGGCUUAGAAGCAGCCAUCAUUUAAAGAAAGCGUAAUAGCUCACUGGUCGAGUCGGCCUGCGCGGAAGAUGUAACGGGGCUAAACCAUGCACCGAAGCUGCGGCAGCGACGCUGAUGCGUUGUUGGGUAGGGGAGCGUUCUGUAAGCCUGUGAAGGUGUACUGUGAGGUAUGCUGGAGGUAUCAGAAGUGCGAAUGCUGACAUAAGUAACGAUAAAGCGGGUGAAAAGCCCGCUCGCCGGAAGACCAAGGGUUCCUGUCCAACGUUAAUCGGGGCAGGGUGAGUCGACCCCUAAGGCGAGGCCGAAAGGCGUAGUCGAUGGGAAACAGGUUAAUAUUCCUGUACUUGGUGUUACUGCGAAGGGGGGACGGAGAAGGCUAUGUUGGCCGGGCGACGGUUGUCCCGGUUUAAGCGUGUAGGCUGGUUUUCCAGGCAAAUCCGGAAAAUCAAGGCUGAGGCGUGAUGACGAGGCACUACGGUGCUGAAGCAACAAAUGCCCUGCUUCCAGGAAAAGCCUCUAAGCAUCAGGUAACAUCAAAUCGUACCCCAAACCGACACAGGUGGUCAGGUAGAGAAUACCAAGGCGCUUGAGAGAACUCGGGUGAAGGAACUAGGCAAAAUGGUGCCGUAACUUCGGGAGAAGGCACGCUGAUAUGUAGGUGAAGCGACUUGCUCGUGGAGCUGAAAUCAGUCGAAGAUACCAGCUGGCUGCAACUGUUUAUUAAAAACACAGCACUGUGCAAACACGAAAGUGGACGUAUACGGUGUGACGCCUGCCCGGUGCCGGAAGGUUAAUUGAUGGGGUUAGCGCAAGCGAAGCUCUUGAUCGAAGCCCCGGUAAACGGCGGCCGUAACUAUAACGGUCCUAAGGUAGCGAAAUUCCUUGUCGGGUAAGUUCCGACCUGCACGAAUGGCGUAAUGAUGGCCAGGCUGUCUCCACCCGAGACUCAGUGAAAUUGAACUCGCUGUGAAGAUGCAGUGUACCCGCGGCAAGACGGAAAGACCCCGUGAACCUUUACUAUAGCUUGACACUGAACAUUGAGCCUUGAUGUGUAGGAUAGGUGGGAGGCUUUGAAGUGUGGACGCCAGUCUGCAUGGAGCCGACCUUGAAAUACCACCCUUUAAUGUUUGAUGUUCUAACGUUGACCCGUAAUCCGGGUUGCGGACAGUGUCUGGUGGGUAGUUUGACUGGGGCGGUCUCCUCCUAAAGAGUAACGGAGGAGCACGAAGGUUGGCUAAUCCUGGUCGGACAUCAGGAGGUUAGUGCAAUGGCAUAAGCCAGCUUGACUGCGAGCGUGACGGCGCGAGCAGGUGCGAAAGCAGGUCAUAGUGAUCCGGUGGUUCUGAAUGGAAGGGCCAUCGCUCAACGGAUAAAAGGUACUCCGGGGAUAACAGGCUGAUACCGCCCAAGAGUUCAUAUCGACGGCGGUGUUUGGCACCUCGAUGUCGGCUCAUCACAUCCUGGGGCUGAAGUAGGUCCCAAGGGUAUGGCUGUUCGCCAUUUAAAGUGGUACGCGAGCUGGGUUUAGAACGUCGUGAGACAGUUCGGUCCCUAUCUGCCGUGGGCGCUGGAGAAUUGAGGGGGGCUGCUCCUAGUACGAGAGGACCGGAGUGGACGCAUCACUGGUGUUCGGGUUGUCAUGCCAAUGGCACUGCCCGGUAGCUAAAUGCGGAAGAGAUAAGUGCUGAAAGCAUCUAAGCACGAAACUUGCCCCGAGAUGAGUUCUCCCUGACUCCUUGA
rnacentral:rRNA from 1 species